UGUUAGCAUGCCGUCAUCGUCACCAGGGUUAGGAAUAAGAAGUCACGAUGAGUAAAACCGCCCUAACUUCCUCUUUCAUCUUUUAGAAAGCUCUGCAGAAUGCUCAUCAGCAGCCUCCUCUGUUGUACUCCUCACCUGGGCUCUCAUCAUUUGCAAAUGUUCACAGCAUGCUAGGCAUGGAACCUGGCCCCUGAGGCUGUGCAUCUUUUAGUAGGGAGUUUCCCAUAAAGCCCUGCACCCAGGAAAGGCGGUCCCUGCCAUGCUGUUUCUGCCUUGGAGCCAGCCAGCCUCGGACUGAACCCCUCCUCCUGCAAGCUGCUGCUCUGGGCUAUCUUGUCCCAGUGAGAAGGAAAGGGACUGAGACAGGCAUUCAAGGGUGCUGGCUGCUUCUGAGAUCUCUGCCAUUGCUAGUGGUCGGUUCUGCCUUCACUAACAUCCCAGUGACUUCAGGUGCUGUCCUAGAAUAGCCAGUUUGUGUGAACUCUGCGGUUUCAUUCAGGAUGCACAGAUUCACACUGGGAAGUAGCAGAAAGGCCAAACUGGGGAAGCUGGGAGACACUCUCCUCCUCGCUAAGGGCCAAGUUACCUUGCGGAAGAGCGGCUUUACUUUCUCCCUUUUUUGAUUUUUCUUGGUAACUUUUUGAGAUCGGUACUAUUGUUCUCAGCUUACAGAUGAGGAAGUUGAAGUGCAGAGAGACUGUGUGUAUUCAUGGUUUGCUGAGCUAGAAAAUGAUGGAUCCAGCAGUCUGAUAACAGUGCUCAUAUUCUUGUCCAAAACUUAGAAUCCUUCUUUCUGGUGAACUCUAAGUGGCUAAAGAAUGAUAAUCUAGAGACAAGUCAAACUCAGAAGUGGUUCAUAUGUUUUUGUGUAUAAAAAAUAUCAUGGUCAUGGUAUUUUCUAAGAGCCAUAAGAACACAGGUCUGGUUCUUUUAAUUCUUUGGGGAAGAUCCCCAGCAGGGGAAUAGCUGGGUCAAAUGGGACCUCUAGUCCUGGUUCUUUGAGGUAUCUCCAUACUGAUUUCCACAGUGGUUGCACCAGUCUGCACUCCCAUCUACAAUGGAGAAGGGUUCCUUUCUCCCCACAACCCUGCCAGCAUUUGUUAUUUGUUGAUUUCUUGAUAGAAGUUCAUAGCAGCACAGUUUGUAAUAGCUAAAACUUGGAAACAGCCCAAUUGCCCAUCAAUGCAGACUGGAGAAAGAAAAUGUGUUUUUCUUUUUUGUACAUUGGAGUACUACUCAGCCAUAAAGAACGAGAAAUUAGAGACAUUUAUAGCUUAGUGAAUGCACACUGAGGACAUAUUCUUAAGUGAAAUAAAUAGGACACACAUGUAUAAAUACUGAAUAGUUUCUCUGGUGUGAGAAACUGAAAGUGGACAUAAGGACUAAAAUGUACAAUAGGUAAUGUGAAAUAGGAAGAAAAGGG
rnacentral:lncRNA from 1 species